rnacentral:snRNA from 1 species
GUACUUACCUGGUAGGGGACAUGCAGGAUUACGAACCUAGUUUGCCCAGGGCGAGGAGUAUCCAUUGCGCUACAUAUGCGCUGAUCCCAACCCUUCUCUGAGAUUUCCCCCAAAUGCAGGGAGCUUGACUAUAUAUUUGUGAUAAUGGGGGACUGUGUUUCAGCUAUCCCCUC